rnacentral:lncRNA from 1 species
GCUUGCCUAGUUUCAGUUGCUUGUGUUGGGUUGAGAUUUGCCUGUCCCUGACUCCCAUGUCUGAUAGGAACCCACAAACAAGUGCCACCUUUUCCUGACAAGGGAGAGAGCAGAUCUAUGAGAAUAUCUACCAUGACCCCCCCUCCCCUGCCAGUUCUCUUUCAUGUUCUGUUGGUGACAGCCUUACUGCUAUGUUUAUGCUGUGUUUUAUCCAUAUGCAUCUUAAAAGGUACGGUGAGAUGAGAGACAACCCUGGACAAGGAACAGUAGGACAGUCACAGUGCCUAAGCCAAAGGGCUAUGUAAGUGGAGACUCAGAGUGAGGACACUGGAGAGACCCUGACAUCCUUAUUCUGACUCUUCCCUGGGUAAACAAUUUCUCAUCACAAAUAGUCGAAUGAACAAGCAAAUACAUCAAGAAAUAAAAUGAAAACCAUACGGAAAAGCACUCGUGGAGACCCCUGGUUAUCUUGGGGGGAUAAAUAAAGGAAGUGGGGAACGGACAAUGAAAAUCGGGUUUGCUCUGCCCUGCCCCAGUGUCCUCUCGAUGCAUUGUAUUCCGUUCUCUUUCUCUCUGAGGGGCGCCCUGCUCUUCCAGGGGCUGAUAGGAAAUGUGAAGCUGUACAGUCAAGAGCACCACUAAUGAAAAGCAGAGGCAAAUGAGGCUGUAUUGACCCCUGACUUGUCCAGAUAAGGCGGGAUUAUCAUUACUUAGGAGAGUUUUGUUGAAAACAGCAUGGCAAGAGCUGCUUAUAAUUUGCGGGGGGGCAGAGGAUGGAGGGAGGUUGGAAUAUGAACCUUGAUGUAAAGAGAAC